UUUAGUAUGAUGUUUGUGUUUGAUGUGUUGAAUGCUCAUAAAAAUUUCUAGAAUUGUUUGAGUCAUUUCUGUUUUAAUAUGGAAUUUUGAUCCAUGAUGAUCAUUUGUGAGUUUUGAAUUUGCCUUUGACUUCUCUUGCUCAUUACAUGGCUUUGCUUAAUGUUUUUGACUUGGUCCUUUUUAGGACAUGUUCUUGAUAGAGUAAAUGUGAUUCAUGUUGAGUUUUAGUUUCUGUUUUGACUUUUUG
rnacentral:lncRNA from 1 species